ACGUUUUCUUUGAGAAAGAGAGUAGUUUACAGAUGUUUUCUAGCGAGUUAAUGUUGGUGUGAGAUUAACAAACAGACGUAAAUGAACCGCACUUUCGAGAGCUGCUUUUUAUAAGCGGAGGGUUGCUUACUUUACAAGCCAGAGAUGAGCUUUUAUAGCUCAAGCAAGAGUGGUACCGCGAAAAAUGAACUUUCGUCCCUUAG
rnacentral:ncRNA from 1 species